UCCGUAGGUGAACCUGCGGUUGGAUCAUUCCAACAAGGUUUUUACCAAUCCGCGAAAUUGAUUUUUUAGUCUUAACUGCUAAAUUAUGGCGAUAAGCUUAACAAUUUACAACUUUUAGCGAUGGAUGUCUAGGUUCGCGCAUCGAUGAAGAACGCAGCAAACUGCGAUAAGUAAUGCGAAUUGCAGAAUUCAGUGAAUCAUCAAAAUUUUGAACGCACUUUGCGCUUCUGCUCUUUGAGUAGGAGCAUGCCUGUUUCAGUGUCUGUAAAUACAAUUACACUUUGUUGUGUAGACAAUGAGUGUCUGAUGAAAAUCAGUCUCUUUGAACGAAGUUUUCCAAAAUACAACAGUGGUAAAUACCUCGUUGUACACGGAUUUUUUCAUUGGACCUGAAAUCAGGUAAGAGGACCCGCUGAAUUUAAGCAUAUAAAUAAGCGGAGGAAAAGAAACUAACAAGGAUUCCCCUAGUAAGGGCGACUGAAGAGGGAAUAGCUCAGUUUGAAAAUCUGGAUCUUCGGAUCCCGAAUUGUAGUCUGUAGAGGCAAUGCCAAUUAGUACACCGAGCUAAGUUCUCUGGAAGGAGACGUCAUAGAGGGUGAUAAUCCCGUCUUUGCUUGGACAGUGCUGAUGUACGGUAUGCCUCCUAAGAGUCGAGUUGCUUGGGAUUGCAGCUUUAAUUGGGUGGUAAAUUCCAUCUAAAGCUAAAUAAUGGCGCGAGACCGAUAGUGAACAAGUACCGUGAGGGAAAGAUGAAAAGAACUUUGAAAAGAGAGUCAAAAAGUACCUGAAAUCGCUAAAAGGGAAACGCUUGAAGU
rnacentral:rRNA from 1 species